GACGAACGCUGGCGGCGUGCUUAACACCUGCAAGUCGAACGGUGAAGCGCCUUCUUUUUUGUUGGGUGUGGAUGAGUGGCGAACGGGUGAGUAACACGUGAGUAACCUGCCCCCUUCUUCUGGAUAACCGCAUGAAAGUGUGGCUAAUACGGGAUAUUCUGGGUCUUUCUCAUGCUGGGUCUGGGAAAGCUAUUGUUUCGGUGGGGGAUGGGCUCGCGGCCUAUCCGCUUGUGGGUGGGGUGAUGGCCUACCAAGGCGGUGAGGGGUAGCCGGCCUGAGAGGGUAGACGGACACAGUAGGGCUGAGACACGGCCGAGACUCCGACGAGGAGCAGAAGUGGGGAAUAAUGCACAAUGGGAGAAAGUCUGAUGCAACGACGACGCGUGAGGGAUGGAGGACGUCGGGUUAUGAAGCUCUGUCGCCAGUGAAGCAGGCCUGCCUCGUUUGUAGGUGGAGUGACGGUAACUAGAUAAGAAGCGCCGGCUAACUACGUG
rnacentral:rRNA from 1 species